AGUUCGGAUUGUAGUCUGCAACCCGACUACAUGAAGCUGGAAUCGCUAGUAAUCGCGAAUCAGAAUGUCGCGGUGAAUACGUUCCCGGGUCUUGUACACACCGCCCGUCACACCAUGGGAGUCGGAAAUGCCCGAAGUCAGUGACCCAACCGCAAGGAGGGAGCUGCCGAAGGUGGAGCCGGUAACUGGGGUGAAGUCGUAACAAGGUAUC
rnacentral:rRNA from 1 species